rnacentral:rRNA from 1 species
AGAGUUUGAUCCUGGCUCAGGACGAACGCUGGCGGCGUGCCUAAUACAUGCAAGUCGAGCGGAUCUUGUUCAGGAGCUUGCUCCUGAACUUGGUUAGCGGCGGACGGGUGAGUAACACGUAGGCAACCUGCCCUCAAGACCGGGAUAACAUUCGGAAACGAAUGCUAAGACCGGAUACGCGGGGCGCUCGCAUGAGCGCU